rnacentral:rRNA from 1 species
GAUGAACGCUGGCGGCGUGCCUAAUACAUGCAAGUCGAGCGAACAGACGAGGAGCUUGCUCCUCUGACGUUAGCGGCGGACGGGCGAGUAACACGUGGAUAACCUACCUAUAAGACGGGGAUAACUUCGGGAAACCGGAUCUAAUACCGGAUAAUAUAUUGAACCGCAUGGUUCAAUAGUGAAAGACGGUUUUGCUGUCACUUAUAGACGGAUCCGCGCCGCAUUAGCUAGUUGGUAAGGUAACGGCUUACCAAGGCAACGAUGCGUAGCCGACCUGAGAGGGUGAUCGGCCACACUGGAACUGAGACACGGUCCAGACUCCUACGGGAGGCAGCAGUAGGGAAUCUUCCGCAAAGGGCGAAAGCCUGACGGAGCAACGCCGCGUGAGUGAUGAAGGUCUUCGGAUCGUAAAACUCUGUUAUUAGGGAAGAACAAAUGUGUAAGUAACUAUGCACGUCUUGACGGUACCUAAUCAGAAAGCCACGGCUAACUACGUG